UUGACAGCCCUGGAGACUGGUGUCUUCCAUGUAUCCGCAGAACAGGUACAGAAUCAGUAGAGGCCGCAUAAUUUCCCCCCACUCCCCCGCACCACUGUGCUUUAUCUUUAUUGUAGAGAAAACAUUACUAGGGCUAAGAAAAGAGUUCAGUCUCCAUAGCCCAUUCAGUCCUUGACCUCU
rnacentral:sRNA from 1 species